rnacentral:rRNA from 1 species
UACGAAGGGUGCAAGCGUUACUCGGAAUUACUGGCGUAAAGCGCGUGUAGGUGGCGAUGUAAGUCGGGUGUGAAAUCCCUCGGCUCAACCGAGGAAGUGCACUCGAUACUGUGUCGCUUGAGUGUUGGAGGGGAUGGCGGAAUUCCCGGUGUAGAGGUGAAAUUCGUAGAUAUCGGGAGGAACACCUGUGGCGAAGGCGGCCAUCUGGACAACUACUGACACUGAGACGCGAAAGCGUGGGUAGCAAACAGG